rnacentral:lncRNA from 1 species
CAACUAUUUACUGAGUGCUUGCUGUAAUAAGUGCCUGGCACUAUGCUAGGCCUUGAACCUACGAAAGUGAACAAAAGACACACAGUCCCUGUCUCAUGUGGAAUCACGUGGUAAUAGAGACACUAAUCAGAUGAUCAGACAAAGAUUUAAUUAUACAUUGUGGCAGGCGCUGAAGAAGCACCGUGAGAAUAUACGACGUGGGGUUCAGUCUAGCCUGGUGGGUCAGCGCUUUCCUGAGAAAUUAAUGUCUGAGCUCAGAACUGAAGGACAAGCAGUAGCAGCCAGAUUUGGGGAGUGGGGCUGGAGAAGAGGAUUCCAGGCAGAGGAAACAGCCUGUACAAAGGCCCUGAGUACUUGUAUUCUCCUACCCUCCUUUCCCUGUCCCUUUAUGAAGAAGAGAACCUCUUCAUGCCCCACUGUCCAUUACAAAACAUUAAAGAUGAUUUCAUUUGUGGCCAAGUAAAAGCUCUCUGCAAGUCCCAUCAGAAGCCUGGCCAGGAAAGCAGACUCCAGAAGUGACUUCAGGAUCUUUCUCUAGGAAGCCACUACACUCAAGAGGAAACUGAUUUGCCACAGCUGUAUUUCCUUAGGGUCUGGCACUUGCGUCAUUCUGGUUUUCUUCUCCUGAAGAACUAGAGUACUACCAUGGGCCUUGCUGCCUGCCAAGUGAACUUUCUGAUGCUGAGCACAGCCUGCACACCUGGGAUCACUGGAGAAGACAGACUGCCCUCCCUGCCUCCCUGCCUCCCUGAAGGAGGGAUUUAGUAGAGGUCAUUGGGUUAAAGCCAUAAGAACACAUACAUCUCACUUAGAUUUCAAGGACACAGUAUAAAAAGAAUAAAAAGAAGUGUUAACUUCUUAAAGCCAUGAAAGGAAUUUCAGGAAGACUGUAAGCAGCAAUUGAGGGCCAGCACAGGGAAAGGAAACUGGAAAGUGAAGGAGACCAGACGGUGGUGGAACAGAUCGAGACCGUGGAUGGAUGAGGGAUGAGGAAAUAAUUAUACAAUCCAUCACACUUCUCUUAUUGUUGCCAGAAGCUCAGAGUGAAACUUAUGAUAUAAAAAUAGUAACUAUAUUGGCUUUCAUCACUAGACUAUCUGCUCUCACCUCCCUUUAGAGGGUUUAGGGUUUUUGUUUUGUUUUGUUUGAACAAUAUGAGGUGUAUCUAAAUAUAUACAUAUUGCAUAUGUAUUAAUUUCUACAUUUUCCAUUUACAAUAAUAAUGGAUCUGUCCUAGCCUUGCUAAAAGCCCAUGUGACCUCAGACUUCUAUAUGGAAGGAGCGAUUUUAAAAAGUAGCACGAAAUAAAAAGCCAGAAAUCUUCUGUUGAUCUUCUUCUCUCGGUAUAGCUCAAGAAGUCUUCAUUGGGAAUCGAAUUUGUGUUGAGCUCUGAAUUAAAUGCUGUGAAAAACAUAAAACAGAAACGGUGACCAUGAUACUUAGGAGCUUAGCAUCUUGGAGAGGCUGACUAUACAAAAACAUAAUAGUUCAUGUAAAAAGCUGGCUCAUGUGGUUAUAUUGUGUGAGUAGUAAACCUCUGUUUUUGUAAGUGAUUGAGAUUUUGCAGGUCUCCUACACACAGCACACCCUAAUCCAGUGAUUCUCACAGUGUGGGGCCCAGACUAGCCUCAUCAGCAUCACCUAAAUAUUGCUAGAAACAAAAAUCUUCAGGUCCCACCUCAGACAUACUGAACCAGAAACUCUGGGGUGGGGCCCAGGAAUCUGUGUACUAUGUCAGGGGAUUCUGAUGUGCUAAAGUUAAGAAAAUUCCAACCACAAUAUUCUUUACAAUGCCCCACAUUUUCCCCUCUUCCACCUCCUGUAACACAGGACCAGAUCAUGCAACUCUACAUAAUCCAAAAUGCAACGGCAGAUAGAGGAAGAAUAGAAUUCAAACAGAAGCCACCUUACUGAAGGUCCAAGCUAGCAGUUCCCUUUGUAAAAGUUAGACUCAAAUAUUUACACAAGAGGUUGUUUAAAAUGGUAUAAGCUCAAGGGAAGGUGGCUGAAAGACACAAAUUCAAAGAAAAGAAAAGACCACAAUUAUUGAUCAUCUCCUAUGUGUUAUUUGAUCCACCACUUCCUUACCUAGUUCCUUAACCCAAACCUACAAAGAAGGCAAAAUUAUCAUUUCCAAUUUACAGAGGAAGACAGAGAACCUGAGAGCAUUCAAGGAACUUUCCCAAGACUCUACAGUUUGUAUAUGGUAGAGUGGAUUUGAAAGCAAAUCUGUCUGACCUGACCACAGAGCCUGUGCGCCCUACAACUCACCUCCAUUAAAGAAAUAAGCUAUUUUGUGAGAGUGCCUGAGAGCUCGGAGGCCUGAGUAAUGAGUCAACCCCCUGAUCAUAUUACCAACUCUACCCCUAAUUUGUUGGGCGUCACUUCACUAUUGUGCCUGUAGAGUUUUUUUGCUUGAAAAAUGAGAGAUUCUGCUACUUACCACCCACUUACUUACCUGGAAUGAAUUGAGGUAUGUAAAACUUGAGAGAACUAAGGAUGAAAAGUGUUAUAAAUAGUAUUAUUACAAGUAGCAAUAAAUCACGUAAAGAAUGUAAUGUGCAGGUUGGAACAUAAACUGGAAUUAAGUCUCAUAAAUAUAAAAUAACCCAAAGCAUGUGGUUCUUUGAAUUCUGACAGUAAAAUGUUUCACCUAAAUUUUAAGUUACAGAGGCAUCCAAGGAGCCACCUCAGAAAGGCACCCUCUGAGAACACUGGGGUAGGAAAAUAACAAGGAACUUUUUUUUUUUUUUUUAGAUGGAGUUUUGCUGUGUUGCCC